GUUUGAUUCAUGCUCAGAUUGAACGCUGGCGGCAGGCCUAACACAUGCAAGUCGAGCGGUAGCACAGAGAGCUUGCUCUCGGGUGACGAGCGGCGGACGGGUGAGUAAUGUCUGGGAAACUGCCUGAUGGAGGGGGAUAACUACUGGAAACGGUAGCUAAUACCGCAUAAUGUCGCAAGACCAAAGUGGGGGACCUUCGGGCCUCAUGCCAUCAGAUGUGCCCAGAUGGGAUUAGCUAGUAGGUGGGGUAACGGCUCACCUAGGCGACGAUCCCUAGCUGGUCUGAGAGGAUGACCAGCCACACUGGAACUGAGACACGGUCCAGACUCCUACGGGAGGCAGCAGUGGGGAAUAUUGCACAAUGGGCGCAAGCCUGAUGCAGCCAUGCCGCGUGUGUGAAGAAGGCCUUCGGGUUGUAAAGCACUUUCAGCGGGGAGGAAGGCGUUAAGGUUAAUAACCUUGGCGAGGACGUACCCGCAGAAGAAGCACCGG
rnacentral:rRNA from 1 species